GACGAACGCUGGCGGCGUGCCUAAUACAUGCAAGUUGAGCGCUGAAGGUUGGUACUUGUGCCCACUGGAUGAGCAGCGAACGGGUGAGUAACGCGUGGGGAAUCUGCCUUUGAGCGGGGGACAACAUUUGGAAACGAAUGCUAAUACCGCAUAAAAACUUUAAACACAAGUUUUAAGUUUGAAAGAUGCAAUUGCAUCACUCAAAGAUGAUCCCGCGUUGUAUUAGCUAGUUGGUGAGGUAAAGGCUCACCAAGGCGAUGAUACAUAGCCGACCUGAGAGGGUGAUCGGCCACAUUGGGACUGAGACACGGCCCAAACUCCUACGGGAGGCAGCAGUAGGGAAUCUUCGGCAAUGGACGAAAGUCUGACCGAGCAACGCCGCGUGAGGGAAGAAGGUUUUCGGAUCGUAAAACUCUGUUGGUAGAGAAGAACGUUGGUGAGAGUGGAAAGCUCAUCAAGUGACGGUAACUACCCAGAAAGGGACGGCUAACUACGUG
rnacentral:rRNA from 1 species